rnacentral:lncRNA from 10 species
CUACCAGGCAGAGGCAUGACAAGGAAAAUGCCCCAGCAGAGACCCAUCCACAUGGGGUCUUGUGGGCCACACUAAGGGGCUUAGGUUUUGCUCUAAGAACUCAGGAAAUUAUGGAAAGAUUUUAAGGAGGAAAGCGAUGGAUUUGGUUUACACUAAAAACAAAGAAGCCAAACAGAAGCCACUCUGGCUCCUUGUCGAGAGCAGGCUCUGAGGCAUGAAAAGCCGUGGGAAGAUGGGUGGGAGCUACUGCAGGAAUCCAGGACUCUGAUGGGCCCACGAUGGGGGAAGUGCAGCAGAUACAGCAGGUACAGGGAUCUCGAGCCUUGCAGUGACCCAGCCAGAGAGCCACAGAGCUGGGUGAGGAUUUGAGUGUGGGAGGAGAAGACAACACAGUAUCUGGAAUGAUUUCCGAGUUUUGGGGUGGUCAGAUUCAUUGAAGGGUGGAAGAACAGUGAGGGACAAUGCCAGGGCAGGCAGGAGACCAGGCUGUCCCUGGGACAUGCUGAGCUUGAGAUGUAUGGUGCUUUUUCAAGUGGAGAAGUCAAGCAAGCAGCUGGAUGUGUGAGACCAGAGCCACAGGGAGGAGAGAGACAUUUGUGAAUCAUCAGUCCAUGGGGUGAUUUAAAACCAUGGGGUUGGAUGAUGAAGUUAGAAUGGGUGGAGAUAGAGAUGAGAAGGAGUCAGGAGGGAGAUGGGGUGCUCUGAUCUCUAAAGACUGAGCUGAGGAACAGGAGACAGCAAAGUAGUUUGGGGAGGAGCUGCCAGGGGGGUAGGAAGUGACCCAGGGAGGGGUGACAUGAGAAAAGGAUGACCUGCUGUGCUAAAUACUGCAGAAAGGUUGAGCAUGAUGAGGACAGACACGUCCCUUAGAUUCAGCCACGUGGAAGUCCUUGGUGACCUUGAAGAGGUUAGGUCUGUUGUAAGCACCGGUAUGGGCAAUGUGCAAAAGAACCUUGUUCUCCAAGGGCACGCGCC